rnacentral:rRNA from 1 species
AUGAAUAAUAUUACCACCAUGGUAACUUGUUCUAUAAAGAAUGGUAACUCGCGCAGUGCCACGGUAGAGCCAUGGCGCGCAGGAAGCAAGGUCCACGGUUCAUGCCUCCAUGUCCAUGUGCAAGCUUCUUUACCGCCAUCACAUGCUGCUGUCCAGCGCUACCCCGUCCUCGUGCGAGGUCCCCUCGGUGGUGAGGCCGUAGCCGAGCGGGAAGAGCGGGUCGUAGUGCGCGUCGCCCACGUUCAUCGGCAGCUGGUCCACCGACUUGAACCACGUCCGCGCCAGCCUCCCGGUGAACCCGUAGUCGCCGAACAGCGCGUCGGUGACGCCCUGCCCCUCCGAGCCGGGGAGCCACGCCGCCACCAGCGCGUCCGCGGCGGCCAGGAGCGGCUGCGCCACCACGGGCCGCCCGCUGAUGAGCACCGUCGCGCACCGCACCGCGCCGCACACCGCCUGCACGGUGCUCAGCCCGGGCUCCGGGAUGGUCAGGUUCAGGUUGUCGCCGGCUGUCUCCGUGUACGGGUGCUCGCCCACCGCCACGAUCGCGUAGGAGAAGUUGCCCUUCUUGACGAACUCCGCGUCCGGGUUCUCCGCGAACACCACGGUGGUCGACGGGUCCACGGCCGCCCUCACGGCGUCGAGGAUGGUCGUGCCCACGGUGAUGCGCCCGCUGUCGCCCUGCCACUCGAUCGUCCAGCCGCCGCACUGGUAGCCCAGGUUGUCGGCGUGGCUGCCGGCGACGAGGAUCUUGGGCGCCUUCUUGGACAACGGCAGCAUUGGCCCGUCGCUCGUGUCGCCAUUCUUCAGGAGCACCAGCGACUUCCUCACCGCCUCCCUCGCCAAAUCUCUGUGCUCCUGCAUACCAUAAAUUCAGAAUUUCUGAAUCCGGUAGCAAAUCAUAAAUGA